GGUGAGGCGCGGGCACCCGGUGGGGCAUGAGGCGCUUGAGCCCUUGGGUGGCUCUACAGGCGCUUUCCGAUUGUAAUUCAGUCUUAAUUGCUUAUAGGGGAGUAGGAGUGGAGUCCCAAGAGGAAGAAUUUAGUCUUUUUUGUUAUACAAAAUAGCAUGAUUUACAAAGUUAUUGCGUAAAGCAGUAGUAUUUUGUUCAAAAAUACAAAGGUUGUGUCCAUGUGCAACAGACAAACACUUCAGUUGGGCCUUUUACAGACAUGGGGAUUUCUUCCUGGUGUUGUAGCAGUAAAACUAAAAUCCAAAAUACUUGCAUCUGACUUUUUUUUUUUUUUAAAUUUAGACUAUUUAUCAUUGUUCAAUUUUUAAGCAUCUUUGCUACAGCUCUUCCUAAAAUAGGGUUUUUUAGAAGUCUAUGUGAGAUUGCCAAAAUCAUGAUAAGUGAGGGAACUUUAUUCCAUUUGAGAGUGACACAGUCUCCAGAAGUGUAGCUGUCUGUGUUCUCAGCACGCUCAGUUUAUGGUAUGGUCAUUACAGAUGUGGCAUUAUGAAAUGGUGAGAGUCCUGUCCCUGAGGAGAGCUCGAAGACAGUACACAUGUUGUGGAGGAUGGAGAUGCAGGAGCUGGAUCACUGUUUCAGGAGGCACUGGCUUUUCACAACAGAUCACCAUCCCAGAACAGAUCACCAUCCCAGAACAUCUUGGACACUUUAUCAAUGAGACUGAACACCCAAUGCAAAUCUCUUACCAGGGGUAA
rnacentral:lncRNA from 1 species